UACGGAGGGGGCUAGCGUUGUUCGGAAUUACUGGGCGUAAAGCGCACGUAGGCGGCUUUGUAAGUUAGAGGUGAAAGCCCAGGGCUUAACCCUGGAAUUGCCUUUAAGACUGCAUCGCUCGAAUUGUGGAGAGGUGAGUGGAAUUCCGAGUGUAGAGGUGAAAUUCGUAGAUAUUCGCAGGAACACCAGUGGCGAAGGCGGCUUACUGGUCCAUAACUG
rnacentral:rRNA from 1 species